UUUUUUUUUGAGCAACGUCAAAAUUAAUUCAUAUCAUUCAAUAAUAAAGUGUUCAAACUAGACGGUACAUCAUAGAAAAUAUGGGGGCUAGGUGGGAUAAGGAAGCUCUAGCUAUGUUAUGAGCUACCUUAUUUGCUUGCCUCCUUACAAAACGCACAGAAAAGUUAGCGUGCAAAGACAAAAGUUGUUUACAAUAAAAAAUAAUGUCACCAAGUUCAUUGUGGGGGUUGACACUAGAGUUCACAGCAUCCACCACAAUUUUGCAAUCAGAUUNUUCACAACAUCCACCACAAUUUUGCAAUCAGAUUCGAAGAUAACAGAUUGCAUGCCUCGAGCAAUAGCCAGUUUGAAUGCUUCAAGAAGUCCGGUAGCUUCCGCCUCAGAUGGAGUGACUCUAAGAAACUCAUAAUUAGACAAGCCAAGCAGAAAAUGACCCAUGGAGUCUCUGAAGCAUAAACCAUAGCCCAUGAUAGAGUUAUUGUUAAACAACGCGCAGUCAACAUUACAUUUAACAAAUGUCAGCGGAGGCUUCUCCCACAAUGCAUCAUGUGUUAUUUCUUGCACCGGAUUGUUUGCCUGUUGCAUAUAGGUCCAUU
rnacentral:lncRNA from 1 species